rnacentral:rRNA from 1 species
UUACUUCCUACGGGAGGCAGCAGUGGGGAAUAUUGGACAAUGGGCGAAAGCCUGAUCCAGCCAUGCCGCGUGUGUGAAGAAGGUCUUCGGAUUGUAAACGCACUUUAAGUUGGGAGGAAGGGCAGUAACACUAAUACGUUUAUUGUUUUGACGUUACCGACAGAAUAAGCACCGGCUAACUUCGUGCCAGCAGCCGCGGUAAUAAAC